GAUGAACGCUGGCGGCGUGCCUAAUACAUGCAAGUCGAGCGAAUGGAUUAAGAGCUUGCUCUUAUGAAGUUAGCGGCGGACGGGUGAGUAACACGUGGGUAACCUGCCCAUAAGACUGGGAUAACUCCGGGAACCGGGGCUAAUACCGGAUAACAUUUUGAACCACAUGGUUCGAAAUUGAAAGGCGGCUUCGGCUGUCACUUAUGGAUGGACCCGCGUCGCAUUAGCUAGUUGGUGAGGUAACGGCUCACCAAGGCAACGAUGCGUAGCCGACCUGAGAGGGUGAUCGGCCACACUGGGACUGAGACACGGCCCAGACUCCUACGGGAGGCAGCAGUAGGGAAUCUUCCGCAAUGGACGUAAGUCUGACGGAGCAACGCCGCGUGAGUGAGGAAGGCUUUCGGGUCGUAAAACUCUGUUGUUAGGGAAGAACAAGUGCUAGUUGAAUAAGCUGACACCUUGACGGUACCUAACCAGAAAGCCACGGCUAACUACGUGCCAGCCGCCGCAGUAA
rnacentral:rRNA from 1 species